UGCCUCAUUAAAGGACAAGAACUUGAGCGGAAGUGUAUCGUACAAUAGACGGAGUAUGCUUGUAUAGUCUACAGUCUGCGGAACCUUAAGUGCCAGCUUUAUAAUGUCAUUUUCCCUACUACAGGCCCGCCUGAAGGUAGACACAUCAUCAUCAGUAAGCUUUGACAAAAAGCAUUGAGUAGCUAGCUCUUCUAUGCAAUCUAUAGCUGUUUUAUAAGGCAUUUAAUGACAAAUUGAUUGUUUAGAAACAUACUAGUGAAAGUAGCCUUAAUCGCCUCUCGAAAUUAAUAAUGCAGUAUGGUGUAAAAAAUGCAACUCGCGUUGCUCUACUUUUUUCCGAAUUUCCGAAUACGCAGCUGGGGUGAUUGAUCGAUUUCGUAUCAAAAGUUUUGUUUAUAAAAACCGCGAAAUCCUUCUUCAACAGAUGGAUUUUUACAGUGCUGACAUACAAUGACAACAACUAUAAUAGAAAAUAACCGAAAUAUGAAUGGAGAGAGACUACUUGUUUGUAUUAAGCAAUGUAUUAUGCAGCACUUCCAACCUAUGAUAUACGAUGAAAGUAGAUGUGUAAUUGAAACCACAAGGGGAACUUUUUCAGUUCCUGACAAUUAUAAGAAAUAUAAAACCUUAGCAUUUGCUUUUGUUGGACACGUACUGAAUACAGAUGACACACCGGUAAUUGAAAAAGAACUGGAUUGGCCUGAUCCUGCACUAGUGUACAAUACAAUUGUCGAUCGAAUCAGAAAUCACCCAGAAUUAUCACAGUUUAUAUCGGUUGCAUUCAUUAGUCAAUUAAAGGCGGCCAUAGGGGAGGGUUUAGAUAUCAAUGUAAGAGGCACGUUAAACCGCAGGGGAAAGGGUAUAAGAAGGCCGAAAGGCGUAUUUUUUAGAUACAUGGAAUCCCCGUUUGUCAAUACCAAGGUUACUGCAUUCUUUUCUUAUCUUCGAGACUAUAAUAAAAUUGCCUCAGAGUAUCACAAUAAUACUAAAUUCAUUCUCACGUUUUCAUGUAAAGCAUAUUGGGCAUCUGGCCCAAACUUUUCCGCCUUGAAGAAUGUUAUUAGGUGCUCCAUAGUUCAUGAAUACAUUUCUAGGUUUGUGGAAAGAGAACAGGGUCUUAUAGGAGAUCAGGAGCAACCACGUGAAGAAAACUCUUCCCCUGAACUAAGUAAUGUGCAACAUGAAGUCAAUAAUUUAAUCGAACAAGAUGCCGCGGCGGAUGAAGGGUUGUGGAGUGAGAUAGAUUCAUUAUGUGAAAAAUGGCAGUCUGAAGCGGAAGACCAAGCUGAAGCGGAGAUAAUAGCCGACAGAAUAAUUGGAAAUAGUCAAAGGAUGGCGAACCUUAAAAUUCGUCGUACAAAGUUCAAAAGUGUCUUGUAUCAUAUACUAAAGGAACUAAUUCAAUCUCAGGGAACCGUAAAGGUUUAUCGCGGUAGUAGCUUUUCACACGAUUCUAUAAAGAUAAGCUUACAUUAUGAAGAGCAGCAUAUUACAGCCGUAUGGGUCUACCUAACAGUGAAAUUUGAAGAGCAUUGGAAACCAGUUG
rnacentral:lncRNA from 1 species